UACGUAGGGGGCAAGCGUUGUCCGGAAUCAUUGGGCGUAAAGAGCGUGUAGGCGGCCCGAUAAGUCCGCCGUGAAAGUCCAGGGCUCAACCCUGGGAUGCCGGUGGAUACUGUCGGGCUAGAAUCCGGAAGAGGCGAGUGGAAUUCCUGGUGUAGCGGUGAAAUGCGCAGAUAUCAGGAGGAACACCGGUGGCGAAGGCGGGUCUCUGGGCCGAUACUGACGCUGAGGCACGAAAGCCAGGGGAGCAAACGGG
rnacentral:rRNA from 1 species